rnacentral:rRNA from 1 species
CGGAUGGGGGAUAACCUUCCGAAAGGAGGGCUAAUACCGAGUGAGACCACAGUGACUGCGGUCACAGGGGUUAAAGAUGGCCUCUACUUGUAAGCUAUCGCUUGGAGAUGGGCUUAUGCACCAUCAGCUAGUUGGCAGUGUAAAAGACUACCAAGGCUACGACGGUUAACUGAUCUGAGAGGUUGAUCAGUCACACUGGAACUGAGACACGGUCCAG